AACUUUAAAUAAAACAAUGAAAUGACCUGUUUCUGUGUUGCGGUCCUCUGGAAACAUAGUGCAAACAAUGUCCAUAAAUAACCAUUUAACAUAAAUAAAUAAAGUGUCCAUAAAUAACUAUUUAACUUUCAGAUAGAAGCCGUGUGGAUGAGUAGUGCAGCGCCUGGACCUGUCUCCAGUCUCCUAGUAACAGAUUUAACCACUUAUACCAGGCACCUCUUUGGGAUAUAGAAGGCCUUCCCUCUGGUCCCUACCUGUGUAUCUCCAUGACUAGUUCCAACUGUCCCCUGACCCUGCCACUUUUACUUUGUGUUCCAGUAAUUCUGCCAUCCUUUCAGGUCUUUGUACACAAGCACAAAGGCAUGGAGUGCCCAGAGCACUGAUGCCUACGGCCAAGUUCAAAUUUCCCCUGUGAAGCCUUCCCUUCAGGUGCUCUUUUGCCUCUGUUACCCCUGCACUAUCCUCCAUUAUAAGCCUCCCCUUUCUGUAUAAAUACAGUGUCCUGGUUUACAUUACAAGCAUACCUUGUUUUGUUGUGCUUUGCUUUAUUGUGCUUUGCAGAUAUUGCAUUUUUUUAAGAUUUUAUUUUUAAGUAAUCCCUACACCCAACUUGGGGGCUCAAAUUACAACCCCAAGAUCAAGAGUCUUAUGCUCCACCAACCCAACCAAUCGGGCAUCCCUGCAUUUUUUUAAAAUAUGCUCUAUGCCCAACAUGGGGCUUGAACUCAUGACCCCAAGAUCAAGAGUUACAUGCUCUACUGACUGAGCCAGCCAGGUGCCCCCAGUUACUGCAUUUUUUAUAGACUGAAAGUUUGUGGCAAUACUGCAUACAGUAAGUCUAUCAGAGCCAUCUUUCCAACAGCAUUUGUUCUCUUCAUGUCUCUAUCCCAUUUUGUUAAUUCUUGUAAUAUUUCAAGUUUUUUUUUUCAUUAUCAUGUUUGUUAUGCUGAUAUGUGAUCAGUGAUCUUUGUUGUUACUAUUGUAAUUGUUUGGGAGUACCAUGAACUGUGCCCAUUUAACAAUGCAGACUUAAUCAUUG